GUAACCAACCUACCCGAAUCUGGGGGAUAGCCCGCCGAAAGGCGGAUUAAUACCGCAUAAAACCACAGUGCGGCAUCGCAUAAUGGUUAAAGAUUUAUUGGAUUCGGAUGGGGUUGCGUGCCAUUAGCUAGUUGGCGGGGUAACGGCUCACCAAGGCGACGAUGGCUAGGGGAGCUGAGAGGCUGGUCCCCCACACGGGCACUGAGAUACGGGCCCGACUCCUACGGGAGGCAGCAGUAGGGAAUAUUGGGCAAUGGUCGAGAGACUGACCCAGCCAUGCCGCGUGCAGGAUGAAGGCUUUCUGAGUCGUAAACUGCUUUUGCCAGGGAAGAAUAAGGGGGAUGCGUCCUCCGACGACGGUACCUGGUGAAUAAGCACCGGCUAACUCCGUGCCAGCAGCCGCGGUAAUACGGAGGGUGCAAGCGUUGUCCGGAUUUAUUGGGUUUAAAGGGUGCGUAGGCGGCUGAUUAAGUCCGGGGUGAAAGCCCGUUGCUCAACAACGGAACUGCCCCGGAAAC
rnacentral:rRNA from 1 species